rnacentral:lncRNA from 10 species
CAGCCUUCCAAAGUGUUGGGAUUACAGGCAUGAGCCACUGCACCCAGCCAAUUUUCUUACAUAGCUUUAUUGAAAUAUAACUGACAACUGCUGAAAAGUUUUGACCUUCGUUUUGUUUUCUUACAGAAUAUGGAUGUAGGAUUCUCUUUUUAUUGAAACUUAUUUGUUUUGGAUUUUUCUGGACCAGGUCAGAUAUCACAUGGGUGAUGGAGGGAUUUGGGUGGCUUACAAGUUUCUUAGCUCAACAGUGUCCUCUGCUGUUGUUAGUAAAGGGCCAUUUCCUUUAAUAAAAAAUUGUAUUUAUUUUAUUAUUUAUUUACUUUUAAAAAUAGGUUUAUGGGGGAACAAGUGGUAUUUGGUUACUUGAAUAAGUUAUUUAGUGGUGAUUUCUGAGAUUUUGGUACACCCAUCACCCAAGCAUUUUACACUGUGCCCAAUGUGUAAUCUUUUAUCAAUCACCCACCUCCCACCCUGAUAUGGUCUGGCUCUGUGUCCUCACCCAAAUCUCAUCUUUAAUUGUAAUCCAAAUUGUAAUCCCCAUGUGUUGAGGGAGGGACCUCGUGAGAGGUGAUCAGAUUAUGCAGACUGUUCCUCCAUGCUGUUCUCAUGAUAAUGUUUGAGUCUCGUGGAAUCUGAUGGUUUUAUAAGGGGCUUUCCCCUCUUCAUUCUGCACUUCUAUUUCCUGCUGCCAUGUGAAGAAUGUUUGCUUUCCCUUCUGCCAUGAUUAUAAGUUUCCUGAGGCCUCCCCAGCCAUGAGGAACUGUGAUUCUAUUAAACCUCUUUCCUUUAUAAAUUACCCAGUCUCAGGUAUUUCUUCAUAGCAGUGUGAUAACAUACACCCUUUCUCCUGAGUCCCCAAAGUCCAUUACAUCAUUCUUAUGCCUUUACAUCCUCAUAGCUUAGCUCCCACUUAUGAGUGAGAACAUACAAUGUUGGGUUUUCCAUUCCUGAGUUACUUCAGUUAAAAUAAUGGUCUCUAAUUCCAUCCAGGUUGCUGUGAAUGCCAAUAUCUCAUUCCUCUUUAUGGCUAAAUAGUAUUCCAUGGUGUACACAUACAAUACAGGCACACACACAUACACACACACACACCCCACAAUUUCUUUAUCCACUCCUUAAUUGAUCGGCAUUCGGGCUGGUUCCAUAUUUUCACAAUUGUGAAUUGUGCUGCUAUCUUGUGAAUUGUGUGUGUACAAGUAUCUUUUUCCUAUAAUGGGUUCUUUUUCUCUGGGUGGAUACCCAGUAGUGCAACUGGUGGAUCAAAUGGUAGUUCUAUUUUUAGUUCUUUAAGGAUUCUCCAUACUGUUUUCCAUAGUGGUUGUAUUAGUUUACAUUCCCAUCUGCAGUUUAAAAGUGGUCCUUUUUCCACCACAUCCAUAGCAACAGCUAUUAUUUUUUGAUCAUGGCCAUUUUUGUAGGAGUAGGGUGGCACUGCAUUGUGGUUUUGAUUUGCAUUUCCCUGAUUAUUAGUGAUGUUGAGAUUUUUUCAUAGGUUUGUUGGCCAUUUGUACAUUUUCUUUUGAGAAUUGUCUAUUCAUGUCGUUAGCCCACUUUUUGAUGGGAUUGUGUUUUUCUUGCUGAUUUGAGUUCCUUGUAGAUUCUGGAUAUUAGUCCUUUGUUAGAUGUAUAGAUUGCGAAGAUUUUCUCCCACUCUAGGGGUUGUCUGUUUACUCUGCUGACUGUUCCUUUCGCCAUGCAAAAGCUCUUUAGUUUAAGUCUCACCUAUUUAUCUUUGUUUUGUUGUGUUUGCUUUUGGGUUCUUGGUCAUGAAGUCUUUGCUUAAGCCAACAGCUAGAAGGGUUUUUCCCAAUGUUAUAUUCUAGAAUCUUUAUUGUUUCAGGUCUUAAAGUCUUUGAUCCAUCUUGAGUUAAUUAUUUGUAUAAGGUGAGAGAUGACGAUCCAGUUUAAUUCUUCUACAUGUGUUUUGCCAAUUAUCCCAGCACCAUUUGUUGAAUAGUGUCCUUUCCCCACUUUGUUUUUGUUUGCAUUGUCGAAGAUCAGUUGGCUGUAAGUAUUUGGCUUCAUUUCUGGGUUCUCUAUUCUGUUCCACUGGUCUAUGUGCCUAUUUUUAUACAAGUACCAUGCUGUUUUGGUGACUAUGGCCUUAUAGUAUAGUUUGAAGUCACGUAAUAUGAUGCUUCCAGAUUUGUUCUUUUUGCUUAGUCUUGCUUUGGCUAUGUGGGCUCUUUUUUGGUUCCGUAUGAAUUUUAGGAUUGUUUUUUCUACUUCUGUGAAGAAUGAUGGUGAUGUUUUGAUGGGAAUUGCAUUCAAUUUGUAGAUUG